GCGUCACUCGUACCCAACCUACAAAUGGUCAUGCCUAUGGGCCAAGAUGAUGGAUAACGAAAAGUGGCCCAUAUUUUCAUUUUCUUUGAUGUGAUCUGUGAUGAAAACUACAGAAAAUUUUGAGAAAGAUCAUAUUGUUCUUAGAGCUUUACUCAGUGGGAUUUGAAGUGCAUAUAGCAAAUUAUGGGAGAUAAAAAAGACAAACUUUUAAUAGCUGCCAUAGACUUUGGUACCACAUUCUCUGGGUAUGCAUUUUCAUUCAAACAUGACUACAAGACGGACCCUCUAAAAAUCUCCACCAAUCAGAAUUGGGUGGCUGGCUCCAGGGGUCUUGUUUCGCUGAAGGCUCCAACAUGUGUGUUGCUGAGUCCGCAAAAGGAAUUUAUAGCAUUUGGAUAUGAAGCAGAGGACUUGUAUUCAGAGCUAGCUCUUGAUGAAAACCAUUAUGAUCAUUAUUUCUUUAAAAGAUUCAAAAUGGUGCUUCAUGAAUCAAGGAAAUUAUCAAGAACCAUAUUGAUAAAAGAUGACAAGGGUAAAGAAGCCCCUGCACUAGACCUGUUUGCCCAAGUCAUUAGAUACCUGAAGAAUCACCUGUUGAGUGCCCUAGAUACCAAGGGAACUACGGUCAACAACAAGGACAUUCACUGGGUCCUGACAGUGCCAGCUAUAUGGACCGAUUCAGCCAAGCAGUUCAUGAGAGAGGCUGCCAAUAAGGUGGGACAGCUGAUAUUACCAUUCAUCAGAAACAGUGCGAUGGGACGCUCAAAGAAUUACACAGACCCACAGGGGGGCCAUGGGGAGGCACCAAAGUCGAUGAAGCAUUUCAUCAAAUGAUAAUCAAGAUUGUCGGGGCAAGCUGCUUCCAAAAAUUUAAAGACGACUUUAAGGCCGAUGACCUGGACAUCCACAGGGAACUGGAAACUAAAAAGAGGACAAUAAAACCAGAGUCUAAUUCCAAAAUCACAAUUAAACUCCCGGUCUCCCUCGUCACGACAUUCGAGGAAGAAACAGGCGAAAAAAUGAAGGAGGUGAUCCAACAGAUGCAGUAUGCCAACAAAAUGACCUGGCAGACGGACAAACUUAGAAUGGAGGCUGACCUGUUUAAAGAAUUGUUUAAAGAACCAGUUAACAUGCUUGUAGAACACCUCCAAGAGCUGAUGAAGAGAGAUAAUCUCACUGAUAUAUCAACUCUCCUGAUGGUAGGUGGAUUUUCUGAGUCUCCUAUGAUGUUGGAUGCUGUAAUGAAAUCCUUUCCAGAUAAGAAGGUUAUAGUCCCAGAAGAUGCUGGUUUGGCAGUGUUAAAGGGCGCUGUAUUGUUUGGCCACAAACCUCAGUCCAUAACGAUCCGUAAAGCGAGGUACACUUACGGAAUCAAUAUAUCGCCACCUUUUGUUAGAGGGGAUCAUUCCCCGGCAAGGAAAGUGACCAUAGAUGGUGUAGACCGUGUCAAGGACGUUUUUAAAAAGUACAUUCAGUGUGAUCAAGAUAUCCGUGUGGGGGAGGCUGUGAGUGGGCGCCAUGUUACUAUAAAAAGCAACCAAUCAGAAAUGUUGCUGAAGAUAUUUGCUUCCGAAGACCCAAGUCCAAAAUAUGUGACUGAUAACUCUUGUGAAUAUCUUGGGAAAGUGGUUGUAAAAUUGCCUGAGGCUAAAGAGAGACUUAAGGUGGAUGUCAAAAUGAUUUUUGGUGAGACUGAGUUGAUGGUUGAAGCCAAGGAAUCCACCACUGGGAAGGUGUACUCUUCCUAUUUUGAUUUCUUGUAAUGAGAAGCAAAGCUAAAAACCAAAUCAAUAUAGCAUUAGCAAAGUGCUCUAAAAUUGUUCCUUAUAUGUUCUCAGCUAUGUAUCUUGUAAUAAAUAUUUUAUCUUUUG
rnacentral:misc_RNA from 1 species